rnacentral:rRNA from 1 species
GUUGAACGCUGGCGGCAGGCUUAACACAUGCAAGUCGAGCGGAGAUGAGGUGCUUGCACCUUAUCUUAGCGGCGGACGGGUGAGUAAUGCUUAGGAAUCUGCCUAUUAGUGGGGGACAACAUUCCGAAAGGGAUGCUAAUACCGCAUACGUCCUACGGGGGAAAGCAGGGGAUCUUCGGACCUUGCGCUAAUAGAUGAGCCUAAGUCGGAUUAGCUAGUUGGUGGGGUAAAGGCCUACCAAGGCGACGAUCUGUAGCGGGUCUGAGAGGAUGAUCCGCCACACUGGGACUGAGACACGGCCCAGACUCCUACGGGAGGCAGCAGUGGGGAAUAUUGGACAAUGGGGGGAACCCUGAUCCAGCCAUGCCGCGUGUGUGAAGAAGGCCUUAUGGUUGUAAAGCACUUUAAGCGAGGAGGAGGCUACUGAGACUAAUACUCUUGGAUAGUGGACGUUACUCGCAGAAUAAGCACCGGCUAACUCUGUGCCAGCAGCCGCGGUAAUAC